AUUGAACGCUGGCGGCAGGCCUAACACAUGCAAGUCGAGCGGAUGAAGGGAGCUUGCUCCUGGAUUCAGCGGCGGACGGGUGGGUAAUGCCUAGGAAUCUGCCUGGUAGUGGGGGAUAACGUCCGGAAACGAGCGCUAAUACCGCAUACGUCCUGAGGGAGAAAGUGGGGGAUCUUCGGACCUCACGCUAUCAGAUGAGCCUAGGUCGGAUUAGCUAGUUGGUGGGGUAAAGGCCUACCAAGGCGACGAUCCGUAACUGGUCUGAGAGGAUGAUCAGUCACACUGGAACUGAGACACGGUCCAGACUCCUACGGGAGGCAGCAGUGGGGAAUAUUGGACAAUGGGCGAAAGCCUGAUCCAGCCAUGCCGCGUGUGUGAAGAAGGUCUUCGGAUUGUAAAGCACUUUAAGUUGGGAGGAAGGGCAGUAAGUUAAUACCUUGCUGUUUUGACGUUACCAACAGAAUAAGCACCGGCUAACUUCGUG
rnacentral:rRNA from 1 species